AAUUGAUGAACUUGUAAAAGUAUAUAUUUUGAAAAUAUAAUAAAGAGAAGUUCAAUCUCUAUCAAUUU
rnacentral:tRNA from 1 species